ACCCUUUUUCUCUGCAGCUGAACCAAGCGAUCCCCUUAUCUCUUCAACGUAAGCCUAGCAAUAUCCCACAAAUUCCGCUACCUACACCCCUCUUCUCCUUUCUCACACUCCAUCUCUGAAGCUUGCAGGCUCCAUGUGCGAUUUCAGCGGAUUUCAUGGUAAGUCCCAUCCCUAUUUUCAUCAUCUCAUCUGUUGAAAACAUCUCCCAAAAUUUCCCCCCUUUUCAUUAUUUUUGAACUUCGAAUUCAAGCUGUUGAAACCCUCAGUUGUUACCUAUAAAUAGAAGCCCUUAGUGAGCUAUUUGGAGCAAGUUUCUCUUGAAUAACCCAAAACAAAUCUCAUCUGUUUUCUUAAAAAAAAACAAAUCUCUCUUUUAACUUUAAGUUUGUUUUUUGUCGAAUUCUUUGGUGGUUCUCGGCUAAACAAGCUCAUCAAGCGGAUUCGGAGACUCGACGACGACGUUAGCCUCAGUUCGCUGUCACAAAGAAGGUAAUCGCAUUUUUCCUAUCUUCGUCUUUAAUUUAGUAGAAGUAGAGAUGUAGUCGUUCAAGUAUUUCUUGUCGUUUAUUUGGUUUAGUUGGCUGCUGGAAUAUGUAUUCUCCUCGUUUGUUGUAAAAUAGCGUAAAAACGACUAAUUUGGUCGAAUAUGUGUUUAACUCCCGUCGCCCCGUCGCUGCUCGGGGAAAAGGCAACAUUCGUCUCCCCUUUCAUUUCCCGUUCACUGUUUUAGGCUUAGGAAAUGUUUAUUAAUCGUUUGGUUGUUUGCUGGUUUAGUUGGAAGUAAUUAAUUAAAUUUAUGUGAUUAGUUGGUUGUCGUCAUUAGCUUGCCGCUAUUAUUAAUUUGAUUGUCACUAUCAAUAACGUCUUUAUUUUGUUGUCAACUUGUUAAUGCUGAUCAGCUUUAAAUAGGCUUUAACUCUUUGUUUAGUUUCAACAAAUCUGUUAUAGGCUAAGCUUUAUUUGAAUCAUAUCCUCAAACCUCUUCCCUCACUUUUUAGUCCUGUUUUCAGCCCGUUAUUGUUAGAUAUCUACAGCUCAUCUUGUGUUUCUCUCUAUAGGUCGUCUUACAAUCCAAAAAUGUAGGAAUUAACCUAAAUUUGUAAUCUUUUGUUAUUUUAGCAUAUCGUUAUAUCUGUCCAUUAGAGUCUAGUUAUCAGUUUGGGGCUAACUAUUUCAUUAUAAGUGAAUCAGGUUACUAGUUUAGUAAUUUUCCUCUUCUUUCCAUUUCUUUCAAUUCUACUUUUCUAUACUUGCUUUAGCAUGUUUAACAUUGGGAUUCCUGUUUGUUUGGAUUCAAUUGUAGUUAGCAAAGCUGUUGUCAUGGUUGUUUCUGCAGUUACUAGUGUUGCUUAAUUAUUUGAUCUUAGAAAUCAUGAUCUGUACUUUGGAAUAACAGAGGUCAUGGAUCAGUAGGACCCAAAGUUAAGUAAGUCCAAAGUGAACUGAUUGCCUGUUUGAUUGAUCAUUGAGAAAAGAAAAAAUAUGCUUUGUUGAGUUAUAAUGUAUCCUUGUUUCUCUUUAAGGAUGUGGGAAAGCAUGUUGGUAGAGCUCAUUGUAUGGUUAAUUUUAGCACUGUCCACUCCCAUCUUAAAUUCAACUUGUGUUUCAAGUUCAUUCCAAGCAAUGGAUAGGUUCAAUCAUUAGUUUAGUAAUUUUCCUUUUGGUUUAACGUUCUAUGGAGUUCUUCCUAUUUUCAAGGUUAUGUGGCUUAGCUUUGGUUUUAGUCCAGUCCGAAUAAGAAAUAUUAGUCUAUCUAAUUCUUUAAACGCUUAAACUAGGAGUAGAGAACUGCAUUUCCUAGCGUGUUGGAUCAGUUCAAAAAUAGAAGGCAAUGGUUAACUUGUACUCAUAUUUCAAUUCAUUUCAAAGUAAUAGCUUUGGUUUGCUCUGGAUUUUCCCUUUUUUUUAAGUCAAUAACCCCUUUGUAGUAAUCUGCUUUUAUUUUCUAGAAUCAGUUCUUUCUCGUGCAUGUUAAGUGUUUUUAAACUAAAAGCUGUUUUAGAAUAUUUUUUUAGGUCCAAAAGUGUGCUUUCUAUUCUCAAAGAGAUGCCUAUGUUGAACCAGAGAUGUUUUUGUUUUGACCUUAACGAGAUUUUACUUCAAAUCUCGCUCCCAGGCCCUUUCUCUUUGAAAUCUGAGCUUUAAAUCUUUCACAUAUCUGUCUUCAAACUCAGUAAAGUAUUUUCAAAUAGUUGUCGUUCUAUCUAACCUUGUUUUCUUCACAUUUCAUGGGUAGUUCAUGAUUUUCCCAUAACGAAUUUGCUACAAGAAACUUAUUAUCAUUGCUACUUGAAUUGAGUGGAAUACAUGUGUGAAGUAUUGUUGAUUGUAGUUCAGCCUAUUUACUUAAUUGUAUGGUAUAAAAUGUGCAAGAUAUGUCAUUUUGUUUGAGUUGAUUACCUCUCAUGAUUUAAGGAUCUUCCAGUAGCUAUAACAUUGAUUCAUGGUAUGGCUGUUAGCUUAUGUGACUCUCCAGAACAUAAACCAUCAGUCAUCUUCCCUCUCUACUUCCAAACUGAAGAUUUCAAUAACUACUUCAACCUAAUUGGCUUAUAAAUCAGUCUAUUCUUGCAUCUAGAGAAGUGUCUUUGGCUUCUUUAUACCUUGCCUUUCUGAUAUAUGCUGGCAAAUUUGGUUAAAGAAGCACUGCCUAGGGACAUGUUUAUGUAUUGUAAAUUACUUCUUUUGUCUAAAGCAGUCAGGUUUGUUUAAAAGGAUAGCAUCCAGUUUCCACAGUUAAGAAUGCUUAGAAGGAGUUAAAUUCAGUUUGUUCUUCUCUUAUACUUGAGUGUGUAGUUAAACAGUUGUUUUCAGUCGUGGCAGUAAGUUGAUGCUGCCACUUGAUACUUCAUUUGUUUUCUCUUAAAAAAUAAAUCCCUUAAAGACUUAUUACCUCACUGUUUAAACAAUGUCAGAGUUUUUUUUCACAGGCAAAUGAUCUCUUUAUAUUAAGACAAAAUAUGCUGCACUUAAGUUUCUAUAUUUUGGAAGAGUCAACUGUGCACUUUAGGAUGUUGUAACCAGCUUGUUGUUGGAACAUUUUGAAGCAGAACUUACUGCCCUCACGAAAAGAAACAGUUUGCUACACUCGAGAAAAUGGUUUCUGCCCAUUUUUUGUUUGAUGCACUUCUUGGCUGCUACAUUAUCCUUAUCAAUGGCUGUAAUAUUUUGGCCAAACAGCUUGCUGUUUUGGCAUGUAUUAUGCUAUCUUUUGAAAGUUGUCAUACUUUAAUGGAAGGCAAAAAAAAAAAAAAAAAAAGACAUUACUACUGCUACAUGUUGCUGUCACUUGUUGCUGUGUUUAAGAUAAAUCUUGCCUGGUUUUGGGAUAAAGCUGUUGCAUUCAUUAAAAAGAAAUAGACUCACACUUGAUUAAGGGAUUGGUUUGGCAUUUGCUGCUGGUUCUGGCCUUGGGCUACUGCAAGUUAAGGCCAAAUGACUGAUUUUUUUGGGAUAAAUGUGUUUGUCUUACCAUUAAGUUUGGAGUGCUGUUUAAUACACUCAAGCUGAUACACUUGCUGUUGCCUACUGUUACUGCUUCUUGUUGUCUCUGCUGAACUUAAGAAAAGUUACUGUUUUGACAGAAAAAGAAGGCUACUGUUUUUUUUUACUAAAAAGUUACUGUUUUCUAGUCAAAAAGUUACUAUUUUUGAUUAGGGAAAAGGAUACUAUUUUGAUAAAAAAAAAACCUACUGUUUUGAGUAGGGAAAGUUACUUGUCUUGAAGGGAAAAUUUACCGAUUCGUGAAAAUUAAAUUUGUCAAAUCUGUGUUUGACUUCAUCGUUUGGGCUAAUUUCUCUGUUUUGCGAGUUGCCCUCGUUAUAUGGCUAGCUAAGUUAGUAAUCAUCUUCGUCCUCGUCUUACAUUUCAUUUUCGGGUUAUCAAACUAAAAGGAAAACGUAGUGAUAUUUCUUAUUUAAUCUUCCUUUCUUGUCUUGGUUCUAUUUAUCUCGAAUCUUUCUGUAAUUAGAGUGAUUUGGUUUGUUUUAAUGUUAGGUUGCUGAUUUGGAAGUAUUAUUUUCCCCCUUGCCCUAGCAUUUUAUCUUUUUGUUCUGUUUCAUGUAGAGUGUCUAGUUGCAAUCGUAUUAGAGUUAAGUAAUUAGUUUAAUUUCCCUUCAUGUGUUAAGUGUGCUUGCUAUUUGUCUCAGUUUAAGCUAGAUCAGGUUCAAUGUUUAAAAAUGGAGAUUAAUGUAUGUGACUGUACACUGUUUUGGUAUAAUUGCUAUAGUUUAUAUUAGUUUGAUUAAUAUAAACUGGUUGUGAAUUAUAUGCUUUAAAUUCCAAAAUAUUCCCUGUCCAAGCAUGAUUUCAUAAAUGCCCAGUUCCAACUUUGUUGUUAUAACUAGCUAAACUUAGGACUAAUCAUUGGUAGCCCAGUUUAAGUGUUGUUUGGUUAAGUAGUCUAGUUAUACUGCUUUCUUUAAAAAUACCUAGUAUCAAGGUUUUGGUAGCCUAAGCAUAUGAUGAUUUAGCUCCAAUCUUAGUUCCCUAUUUUAGCGUUUGGUUUGAGAAUUCUCCUAAGAUAUUCUCCUAGCGGUUUUCCUUGUUGAAUUCGUUGUUGUGAAGGCUGAAAGUCAAGACAUAUUAUGGGAUUUUUCUUUUUCUUUAAAAAAGCUAUGUCUAAAUUUCCAUCAUAUUAGUUGCUGCCCACUGCUGCUGCGUUUUUUGGGCCAAAAAAUUGCUACUUUGCUUGCACUCUGUUGCUGAUUUCUGAUGGAAUGUUUGGCUAUGUUAUUGGCUCACCGUAGUUACUUUUCUAAGGCGGUGUUGCUACACUAUAAGGGUACUUCGUUGCUGCCUUUGAGGGCAGAUUCCUACUGCUUUUGAAUGGGUUGAUUGAUGUGUUCUCAGUCCUGUCUUUCAUUAAAAAUGGUUGUUGUUGUUUUGUUUGAUGAGCUACUAUUUUUUGCUAAAAAGAACAAAUGCCACACCUGAUAAGCUUGCUACACUUGAGAAAUAAAGUAACAGAUAUUACACUGGUACUGCAUUUGAGAAGGCUGAAAAAUGCAACAUUCUUGAGACACAUUCGGAACCUUAAAGCCACUGCUAUGUUCAAGAGGCUCUCCUAUGCUGCCGUUUUAUUUCACUGUUUCUGUCCUUUGUUGUGGCUUUUUGCUGCAGUAUGGGAUUGAUACUACGUUUAGAGUACUUCUGAGAGUAAAGGAAAUAGAUUCUAUAUUUCUUUGUUUCUGCUGCCUUUUCUGAGACAAAAAUAAAUGCUAUAAUUGAUGUCCUAAUGCUGCAGUUUAAGAUGCAGCAAUUGCUGCAUUUUUUAGUUGAAUUGACAUGACAAUUUGAGCCGAAUCACUGCUGUAAACAACUGCAUUUUGGAGCAGAUUUUGCUGCACUUUGAGGCUAUACUUGCCGCUGCAAUUUUGGUUAUUUACACCGCAUUUUGGUCUGAAAUAUGCUGUCUCUUGAGUCAAUGGGUUGCUGCCUAUUUAACAGUGAGCUAGAGUUGCACUUUAAACCCUUAACCGAUUUGAACAUAUUCUACACUUGGGCCGAUGAAGAGUUAUUUAACUUGAGGCCUCGCUUUUAAAAGAAUGGAUUUCCAUACUUGAUUGAAAGUUUACUGAUUUGAACACUUAAAACUUGCAUAAAAGGGAGCGGGGCUGCUAUACUCAAGUUCAGGUGCAAUUAAUAUGCUAAGUUAUUUUUUUUCCUUAUUUGAACCUAGAAAAAAUAUGCUAAGUAUCUCUGGACAUUCGAUUCUUUUAUCUAGCUUUUAUUAAUUAAAGUUAUAUAGACUUCUUUUUUCCUUGUUGAGAAUUGUUUCUAAUCCUUAUCUUUUUCUUUCUUUCUUUUUUUUCAUGAGCAACUUCGGGAGCAUUUGGAGUUAUGGCAACUCCGGAUUCUGCCCAUAUCAAAGAGCGGCCAGCAGCAGAUUAUUUACUCGUGUCUAGCAGUCCCACCUCGUCCACGUCUCGAGUCUCCGUCCUUCUUCCUUAUUCAAAAUUUCAAGCCUCCAUAUUGUUUGAUACAUGCUAUUUAUAUUAUUUGACUAACACUCUUGUGAAUUUGUAUUUUUUGUAGUUUUGUUUUGAACGCGUAACUUGACUGAAGUAUAUUAGUAAGUUUAGGCAUUAUCUUCCCUACACUCUUUUUGUUUUAAGAUAUUGAACUUAGUGUAUUUAUUCGGAUUAGGCGUAUUAGAGUAGUCACAUAAAUGAUGUCAACUUUUUUUUUCAGGAUGUAAGAAAAUUGGAUUUUUCUAAAAGGUGAAACUGGAGACUUCUCUUUCGAAAUAAAGAAUUUGCUAAUAACGUUUUUUCAAAUGUUUCAAGCAAGAGCUAGGCAUAUUCUAUGCAAAGGCCCACACAUGGAUUUUUUUUAGAAGUGAUAAAAACACCAGUUUUUGGAGAGAAAAAAAAUAAGAACUUUAGUGACCCAAAACAUAUUUUCAGAAUUUGUUCUUUUUGCACUAACGUCGAGCAGGUUUUAUUUUUCAAGUUGAAAACAAGAAAAUUAUAUUAGGGCUCAAGUAUAGUGGCCCAAGUUAUUUUACGAAAGCCACCAGGUAUGUACUCUAUUUUUCAUAUACAUAUAUAUACUUUAUUUCUUAUUAAAUCAUCCAAUCAUCUCUACAUUGUGGUGUACUUAUAUAUAUCACGGUACUUAUACAUGUUAUUAUAUUUUUCAUGGCUAUUUCUGAAAGUGUACUUCUUUAUACUAUUUUACAUACGAUAAACAUACUCCAUGUAUAUGUUAUUUUCACAUAAUAAAUAUGUAUUUCCAUACUCUACAUCAUAUAUAUUGUCCUUAUAUACAAUAACCAUAUUUAUACCUGAUCUUCAAAAAAUACACAUGUACAUAUAACUUUACAAUGAGUAUGCCUAUAUACUAUUUUUUUUUUUUACACGUACCAUACAUAUACUACCUUAUUUCCGUUAAUUCUCUUGGUCGUCUUCACAUAUAUGCAUCUAUAUAGUACUAUCACGCCACCAAUAACUAUUUUUAGUUACCCAUGAUAUACAUAUCAUGUAUACACGUUAUUUUCAUUAUAUAUAUGUAUAUAUAUAUAUAUAUAUCUUCUUAUUCAGUAGGGGUGGACAUUCGAGUAGGGGCGGUGCACCAACAGGCCGCGGUGGUUCUCAGUCUGUUAGAGGUCCGGCAGGGGAGAUUCUCAGGGUUCUAGGGGAGGAGCUCAGUCAGGAAAGAGUGGUGAUGGUGAUGCACAGUCCCGUAGCGGACGAGUCCAUUAUUAUGCCUUCCCUGGUAGACUAAAGGCGAAGGCUUCUGAUGUUGUCAUCACAGACUAGCGAUAGCGAGCUUGGACAACUAAGCGUAGCUAAUAGGACGCGGAGCAGGUAAGCAGGUAGACGCGUUCGAUCCCUAGGAGCUCCACCAGCGGUACAUUGAGAGCGCUCCAGUUGUUCCGGAGCUUCUAUUUAUCGGUAUCAUUGAGGAGCAGGUUCGUGAUGCGCCUACGACUUAAGAGAACUUGCUGCUUUCGAGACUAUUCGGUGAGCCGACAUGAUUGUUCGUGGGGCACCAUUCUAUCUUUACUUUUCGUCUUUUAGUUUCGGGCUGCGUCCUAACGAUUUAGACAUUGCUCAUUAUCUUAGAAGCUCCAUGGUAUACGUUCUUGUGGAUAGUUAUUGAGUUAUUGAUUAACUCUCAGGCAUGUUAUUACGUUUGACUAAGUAUUUGAUUAAUAAAGACUU